GUUUGGGUGGCGCGGGAAGGCCGACGCCCCAUGCGGCGAGCAGAGGCGGGCCGCGGCCCGGUCAGAGGUCCGUGUGGCGGGUGGCGGCGGAUGGCGGGCCCGUCCCUCCUCAGUGCAGCCCCGCCCCCGGCUGAAGGUCAGCGCGCUUUGUUCCCGCCGCCCGCGAGUCCACGCGAAGGCGCGCAGGCGGUUCCUUGAGAGGAACAAGGCCUCCCCAGCGAGGUGGGCCUGGGUGCGCCUUGUCUUAGACCGCGCCUGGGAAGGAAGGGGUCUACUGGGCCGCCGCCUCGCCCUUCCGGGCUUUGCAUGCUCUCCGCACAGUGCCCUAGUAGACUUCACUCUCUGAGUCU
rnacentral:lncRNA from 1 species